rnacentral:lncRNA from 10 species
UUUGUUGUAUGGCUUGUUGAAGAUUUUGUUUUUCUGUCUUGGGGGCGUCGGCACUAUGUUGAAGAGCUGUAACAUUUAUCGCGAGAGUUUGUGUCUUUUUUUCUGGACCAGGAAUCCGCCGCAAGGAACGAAGUCCGGACGUGCUACUUUUAAGAACUAUGGCACACCGGAAGGACCAAACUAGGGCCUUUCAAAGUGCGGGGGUAUAACAAGCGGCAGCCACAGCACCCCGCCACUGGCGUCAGCGAGACCGAGAACCUACCAGA